GAUGAACGCUAGCUACAGGCUUAACACAUGCAAGUCGAGGGGUAACGAGAGGAAAGCUUGCUUUCCUUGUCGACGACCGGCGCACGGGUGAGUAACGCGUAUCCAACCUGCCCCCAACUAGGGAAUAACCUUGCGAAAGUAAGACUAAUACCCUAUAAUUUCCUCAGCUGACAUCUGACGAGGAAUAAAGAUUUAUCGGUUGUGGAUGGGGAUGCGUCUGAUUAGCUUUUCGGCGGGGUAACGGCCCACCAAGGCAACGAUCAGUAGGGGUUCUGAGAGGAAGGUCCCCCACAUUGGAACUGAGACACGGUCCAAACUCCUACGGGAGGCAGCAGUGAGGAAUAUUGGUCAAUGGGCGGAAGCCUGAACCAGCCAAGUAGCGUGCAGGAUGACGGCCCUAUGGGUUGUAAACUGCUUUUAUACAGGAAUAAAGUCAGCCACGUGUGGUUAUUUGUAGGUACUGUAUGAAUAAGGACCGGCUAAUUCCGUGCCAGCAGCCGCCGUAA
rnacentral:rRNA from 1 species